ACUCAAAUGAAUAGACGGGGACUUGCACAAGCAGUGGAUUAUGUGGUUCAAUUCGAUGGCAAACGAAGAACCUUACCAGGGUUAGAAAUCCAAGCGAAGACAUUAGGAAACUUUUGUCGUCUCACAAGGACGGUUGGACAGGUGAUGCAUGGCCGUCGUCAGUUCGUGGUUUGAAUUGUUCCCUUAAGUGGGGUAACGAACGCAACCCUCGUUGGCUGUUACAAGUGUCAGCCGAGACUGCCCUAGAUUUUGGAUGCGAAAUAUCGUCUCUAAAAUCUAGGGAGGAAGGCGAGGAUGACGCCAGGUCAGCAUGUCCCUUUGAUAUCCUGGGCUACACACAUAAUACAAUCGCACCUACAACGCGACGCAAAACCGCAAGGUAGAGCAAAUCGUAAGAAAAGGUGCGCCAGUUCGGAUUGAGGUCUGCAACUCGACCUCAUGAAGCCGGAAUUGCUAGUAAUCGCGGGUCAGCUAUACCGCGGUGAAUACGUUCUCAAGUCUUGUACACACCGCCCGU
rnacentral:rRNA from 1 species